rnacentral:rRNA from 1 species
UACGGAGGGUGCAAGCGUUAUCCGGAUUCACUGGGUUUAAAGGGUGCGUAGGUGGGCAGGUAAGUCAGUGGUGAAAUCUCUGGGCCUAACUCAGAAACUGCCAUUGAUACUAUCUUUCUUGAAUACCGUGGAGGUCAGCGGAAUAUGUCAUGUAGCGGUGAAAUGCUUAGAUAUGACAUAGAACACCAAUUGCGAAGGCAGCUGGCUACACGAAUAUUGACACUGAUGCACGAAAGCGUGGGGAUCAAACAGG